AUGGGCAAUAACAUAAACGUGUGCAAUAACAUAAACGUGUGCACUAACAUGAUAACAGACACUUGUAAUUCCAACAGUAGCAAUAACAUUACAAACUCUAAUAAUAACAAUAAAAAUGUUACUACAAACUUUGGUAAUAACAAUACAGUACUAACCGUAAGCGAUAGUGACAUGUACCAUUAUGUAUUCAUAACAAAAAAUAGUUGCAUAUUUUUUUUCAAAAUGAUAAUAACGAUUAUGUUUGAAACAUUGAAAGUUGCGCAUCACAAAAUUAAUACCAUAAACCCUAAUUGUACGAUCCCUUCAUUUUUUAUGGAAAAUUUUAUAUUGAUAUAUGAUUAUAUCUAUAAUUUAUUAAUAGUGUAUUUUAAAGACAGUUAUAAACGUGUAAAUAAAACCUUAUCACUUCUUAUGGAAUUUAUUGAGACGAACAAUUGUUAUGAUAAACAUAGUAAUAAAAAAGAUAAUGUAAAAAAUAAGAACAAUUAUACAAUGAAAAAUGUUUUAAUUAACAAAUUUUAUGAUGAUUCUUAUGCACAUGGAUUUGCUUAUAAGUCAUCUACCAGUUCAGGUGAUAAUUCGAACAACGAAUCGUCUAACUGUUCAUAUGACACUUCGUCUGAUAAUUCACUACACAUUGCACAUAACAAAAAAUCAUAUGCUACAACAGUUACUAAACCAUCUCAACAUUUACUACACAAAAAAAAAAGUAAUAAUAACGAAAAAAAUAAAAAACACAAAAAAAAUAAAUUCGCUAGUGUCGAUUACAUUUUUAAUGAUAUAAAUAAAAAUACACACACAAAUAGCUACAAUUAUAGUUACAAUUAUAGUUACAAAUAUAAUUACAAAUAUAAUUACAAAUAUAGUUACAAACAAAUAGAAAUAUUAAAAAUAGUUUGUAUUUUUAUUAAUUAUACUCCCAUACAUUUUAUCCAAAUGAAAAAAAUCAACCUGAAUUUGGUGAAGUUAUUAGAAACAUUACUGUUUGAUAUACAUUUAAAUAGUUACUACAAUGAAAUUAUACACUUUUUAAAACUUUUUUUUUUUUUUUAUGAUUAUGAUGGUAUUUAUAAAAAAUAUUUGGAUUUUAUAUCAUAUUAUUAUUUAUUAGUUAAUAUUUUUUUUGUCAAUAAUAUAAAAGCAAAGGAAAAUCACAUCACAUUAAAUAACGAUACUCUCAUACAGAAUCAACAAAAUGAAAUGGAUUGUGACAAGAAGAACUAUGGUGAAGAAAACCAUGACAAACCUAACCAACAAUAUCAAAACGAUAGUGACAAACCGAGUGAACAGUUAGAUAUAUCUACAUUUAUAAAUGCAACCCAUAACAUUUUUCAUUUUUUCUUUUAUUUAACACCAGAUGAUAAUACACUUAAUAGUGCAUUACAAACGGUUUAUAAAACAAACGCAGUAGAUACUAUUUCGAGUAGUAAUCACGAUAAAAUGUUAGACAGCAGUACAUACAUAUAUAACGCUUUACCACAAGCAUAUACAAGUUCUGAGUCGUUUGUUGGAUUUAUGGAAAAAAAAUUAACAAUUGAUGAUAAGCAAAAUAUGCGCGAAAAUAAACGGACAACGAGACAGAAAGGGCGGACACUGCAUCCUCGUAAAGGAUCUCUGUACAACACUAAGCAAUCGCCAAUAAAUAAAAAAGAACUACAGCUAAAUGAAAAAAAAAUACAGCUAAAUGAAAAGGAACUACAGCUAAAUGAAAAGGAACUACAGNNNNNNNNNNAA
ensembl:lncRNA